GACGAACGCUGGCGGCGUGCUUAGCACAUGCAAGUCGAACGGAAAGGCCCUGCUUUUGUGGGGUGCUCGAGUGGCGAACGGGUGAGUAACACGUGAGUAACCUGCCCUUGACUUUGGGAUAACUUCAGGAAACUGGGGCCAAUACCGGAUAGGAGCUCCUGCUGCAUGGUGGGGGUUGGAAAGUUUCGGCGGUUGGGGAUGGACUCGCGGCUUAUCAGCUUGUUGGUGGGGUAGUGGCUUACCAAGCCUUUGACGAGUAGCCGGCCUGAGAGGGUGACCGGCCACAUUGGGACUGAGAUACGGCCCAGACUACUACGGGAGGCAGCAGUGGGGAAUAUUGCAUAAUGGGCGGAAGCCUGAUGCAGCAACGCCGCGUGCGGGAUGACGGCCUUCGGGUUGUAAACCGCUUUCGCCUGUGACGAAGCGUGAGUGACGGUAAUGGGUAAAGAAGCACCGGCUAACUACGUG
rnacentral:rRNA from 1 species